rnacentral:rRNA from 1 species
GACGGUGGCUCAACCAUCGCAGUGCCCUUGAUACUGAAGAGCUUGAAUACAUUAGAGGUAGGCGGAAUGUGACAAGUAGCGGUGAAAUGCAUAGAUAUGUCACAGAACACCGAUUGCGAAGGCAGCUUACUAUGAUGAGAUUGACGCUGAGGCACGAAAGCGUGGGGAUCAAACAGGAUUAGAUACCCUGGUAGUCCACGCCCUAAACGAUGAAUACUCGCUGUUAGCGAUACACAGUUAGCGGCUAAGCGAAAGCGUUAAGUAUUCCACCUGGGGAGUACGGUCGCAAGAUUGAAACUCAAAGGAAUUGACGGGGGCCCGCACAAGCGGAGGAGCAUGUGGUUUAAUUCGAUGAUACGCGAGGAACCUUACCCGGGCUUGAAAGUUAGUGAAUCAUUUAGAGAUAGAUGAGUGAGCAAUCACACGAAACUAGGUGCUGCAUGGCUGUCGUCAGCUCGUGCCGUGAGGUGUUGGGUUAAGUCCCGCAACGAGCGCAACCCCUAUGUUUAGUUGCCAGCACGUUAAGGUGGGGACUCUAAACAGACUGCCUGUGCAAACAGAGAGGAAGGAGGGGACGACGUCAAGUCAUCAUGGCCCUUACGUCCGGGGCUACACACGUGCUACAAUGGAUGGUACAGAGGGCAGCAAGCUGGCAACAGCAAGCGAAUCUCCAAAAGCCAUUCACAGUUCGGAUAGAGGUCUGCAACUCGACCUCUUGAAGUUGGAUUCGCUAGUAAUCGCAUAUCAGCAAUGAUGCGGUGAAUACGUUCCCGGGCCUUGUACACACCGCCCGUCAAGCCAUGGAAGUUGGGGGUACCUAAA